GGCAGUGCAGUAAUGAUUUGGUGAGGCAACAUAGGAAAUAUACUUGGCAUUAUGGCAUGAGGCCAAAUCCUGAGAGAUUCAUAGUUCCUGCACUAUGUCUUGAAGGCUGGGUGCUUGAAGAAUGAAAUCUAUGAUGCUCAGAAAAGAGAUGGGACAUAUUGCACUUGUGAAUGUUCUUGCUACACUUGUUUUUGAUGACAAUGUACAAGACAGAUGGAAAAUCAUUCUAGCAUUUGGUGAUUUCAUGUAUGCCCGAAGCAUGACUCUGAGGCCUAAAGGAUUUGAGAAUAUGAUCCAAUAGCAUCAAUGUCAAUGAUACAUAAAAGGAGACUAA